rnacentral:lncRNA from 1 species
UAGUGUUUCUGAAAUGAUAUGUGUAAUUAGAGACAUGCUGUUAAGCUUGGAAUUGAGAUGAGGCUGCAGUAGGUAGUGUGGAGGAACUCUAGCUUACAGCUUUAUGUUUAAACUGAUCUUUUCAUUCUUGGCAAAAGCAAAAACUCCUGAUGUAAAGAAGAAAUUCAUUUUACCUUGAGAAUUCUUCUUUAGGUAGGAAAGAUGCACACAAACUGCAGAUGUAGGUUAGAUGCUCUCUGCACCUCAGACCAUAAGGAGGUAUCACAGCACAGUCCCUUGUCUGCCUUUUCCAUCAGCACAGAAGAUGUCACCCGGCAGAGGAGCCAGAAGGUUAUAGAAAAGAAUAAUGAACCAUUUCUAGCAGCUUAGGCUGAAGAAAUCUCUGCUUCAGGAGCUCAGCAGUGUGGAAGGGAAGCUGAACACAAACACACCCUGAGGGAACAAUGAGAUGAAGGACAGUUUUCAGGCAUUAGGGGUGGAUUCAGCCCGCCUGACCUAGGUACUAGACAGCUUCCUGGGGUCUGUUGAAGCCCCUGAGAUGGUUUGAAUGCCUGUCCAGUCACUGGGGAAGGCUGCUGCUUGUGGAGUUUUCCAGAGACAGAUCACAUCUGUGUAAAGUACUUCACAAUGGAUGGAUGGGAUCCUACCUUUGGCAGAUUUAUAAUCAUCAGUAACAACUUAUAAUUUGUCUUUAAAGUAAGUGGGGCAAUGUCUCAAUUUCUUCCAAAGCUUCUGGAUACUAUGCAUAUGUAGCUACUAAAGGGCUAACACAAGGCUCCUAUUUCUGGCAUGUGAGAAGAAUCUGACAAGUUGGUACUUUGCCGUGGGACGUGCAACUGCAUUUUAAGUCCUUGAUCUCAGGAGAUAUGCAAGACAGAGAAUGUACUCUUUGGGAGUAUGCCACAGGGAUUUAAGGGCUUCUAGACACAGCUCAGGCUCCAGAGGCUUGCAAGUGUUACAUAUGUGAAGACUGGGUUCCCAGUAGACCAUCUGAGCUUCCAACAGAGGGUGUGUGAUUAGGUUUUGUCCCUUAGGAUAAUGAGAGUCUCCAUUUUCUUCAUGCAUAUUCAGCAUAUAUAAUCUUUUAGGCUUGAUUGAUUUUUUUCCUUUUAUACAGGGAAGAGGAAUAUAAGGUUGUUGGUAUUAACUUGACUUUGAGAGCCUGAGAGUCACUGGAAUCUCUCUUAAAAAUAAUUAUUUUUCUAAGUUCUUCAGAAUUUUGUUCUGUAUUAAGUUGUAGUUGUGUGAAUAUUUUCUUCAACAGCAAAGCUAGUUUAAACUAUCUCUUCAGUCAAAUAAAACAUCUGCAAUGACACUGCUGGAAACUGCA